CUCUGCCUGGGUUUUUUGUUUUUGCUUUUUAGGGCCACACCUGCAGCAUAUGGAGGUUCCCAGGCUAAGGGUUGAAUCAGAGCUGCAGGUGCCGGCCUACAGCACAGCCACAGCCACGCCACAGUCACACCAUAGCAAUGCUAGAUACAGCUGCUCUGCGACCUACACCACAGCUCAGGGCAACGCUGGAUCCUUCAUCCACUGAGUGAGGCCAAGGAUCGAACCCGCAUCCUCACGAAGACUCGUCAGGUUCGUUACCCACUGAGCCACAGUGGGAACUCCCACUGCCUGGAUUUGAAUCUAGCUCUGCCCCCUCCCUGUGGAGUGCCUUUGGGCCAGUGCUUCUCAGUAUGCACCUCUGUCAAGUGGAGGUGACCCACAACUCCUUAGUUCCCAGGGUCAGAGGCCACUUCGUGCCCAGGAGCAAUGACCCAGGCCCCACUGUUCUCCUGCCCCAGAACCAUGAAUGUCCCUCUGUGUUCCUGAUGAGAACAAUGAUUUGCUAAAUAUCCCUUUCCGGGUUUCAUUAUCUCACAAUCCUUGGCCUGGGUUCAACCUUCCGUCCUGGGAAUAAGCUUGGCUCAGAUCUAUCUGUGCUGCGUGUUCACCCGCCCGGCCCCCCAGCACCUCUGCUCAGCGGGGGCCCACUCCUGAGGGUGGGGUCCCAAGGGGAUGUUUUUAAUCAGAUCCCAGAUAAGAUCUGACACCUCCGCCUAAGCCCCAGCCAGGGGUGAGGAGCCAGUGUGUCUGGGCCAACUUCUCCCGGGCACGCGGACAUGCUUGCACACAUGCACGCACACACACAGACGCACACACACCCCAGCUGACACGCAGCUAGAUCCGAGGCUUUUCUGCACUGCCUAAUGGGGCUAAGUGCUUGGCCAGGACACCCCGUUUCUUGGAGGACUCUGAGGCGAUGAAAGCUACCGCUGGCCCCUAAAAAAGGCACAUAUACAAAACCCACAUGACAGCUGGCAAGCCAUUUUUGGAAGGUUCACAGCCACCACCAUUCCAAAGCUCAUCAGGCAAGGCUGGCACGGCUCAGUUGGCAUCUGUCUAGCAUCCCUUCUUGCCAUCCCUCGGCCUGAACAGUGCUUCCAACGAAUUGUCUUCCCUCACUUGACAAAAGCCCAUUUUAUAGAUGACAAAACCGAGGAUGGAGGCUAUGAUCUAAAGUGUCUGGUCAGUGCUGGAGCUGAGAUUCAAAUGCGGGCAGUUGAAUUCCCAAGGCCAACCACCAGGUUAUUCUGUCCCCAAAGGGAUGAUAAGUGCUUCCACAGGCCCGCUUCUGGAUACUCCAUCCCGUUUCUACCCUGGAUUUCUAACCUGCAGCAAUCCUGGAACCUUCGGCCCCAAGCCGACUUCCCAAUCCAGAACCUUGAACGUGCCACACCGUCUCAGAGGUGCCACUCCUGAUGUGCUCCCAGCCAGAGUUCAAGGACUCUAAGAACCCUUCCCCAACCGUCUUAACUCCACGAUUCUGGAAAGCACACGGCCCAUCACUCGCGCUCCCAUUAGUUCUCGGAUGCUGCGCAGUCCUGUUCUGUAAAACCAGGGCACUAGAAGAGAUAAUGUGGUGAUAUUCUAGAUAACAUCCAAGGUUCUAGAACAACCGGGGUUCGUUCUCAGUUUCACCUGUAAGAGACACUGGACUGCUAACAUCCCACCUUUCAACCUUCCAUUGGGUCUCUCUCUACCCAACGAGCAGCCAUCCUCAAUUCUGACUCCAGGGUUCUAGAACACCAACGCUCUAACUUUGAGGAUGUGUCCAGCAUCAAGAAUGACAACAGCUUCUUCCUACUUUAUAGGCUGAGUUCUAGCAGACCAUCAGUGGAUCUCCACGUUUUUUUUUUUUUGCUUUUUAGGGCCACAUCUGUAGCACAUGAAAGUUCCCAGGCUAGGGGUCAAAUCGGAGCCACAGCUGCUGGCCCACACCACAGGCACAGCCACAGCCACACAGGAUCUGAGCUGCCUUUGUGACCUACACCACAGCUCACGGCAACACCAGAUCCCUGACCCACUGAGCGAGGCCAGGGAUCGAACCCCCAUCCUCAUGGAUACUAGUCAGAUUCGUUUCCGCUGCGCCACAAUAGGAACUCCACGUUUUUAACAUGCUUAUUCUGGAACACUGUGCCUCAAACAUGACUGUAGAGAAUCCUCCCAGGAUUGUAUUAAAAAGUGGGUUCUGGAGUUCCCGUCAUGGCGCAGCAGAAACGAAUCCGACUAGGAAUCAUGAGGUUUCGGGUUUGAUCCCUGGCCUCACUCAGUGGGUUAAGGAUCUGGUGUUGCCUUGGGCUGUGGUGUAGGUCGCAGACAUGGCUUGGAUCUGGCAUUGCUGUGACUGUGGUGUAAGUGGUGGCUACAGCUCCAAUUGGACCCCUAGCCUGGGAACCUCCAUAUGCCAUGGGUGCGGCCCUAAAAAGGACAAAAAAAAAAAAAAAAGUAGGUUCUGACUCAGCAGAGUUGAGAAGCAACUCGAGUUUGCAUCUCUACAAGUUCUUUGAGGACCUCAAGAAGGCGUGACAAUAUAGGAAUCCAUAUUCAGUUCUGCAGGCCAGCCUCUAAAAUGGCAAUCCCCACAUGACCUUAUAGUUUCAGGGUUCGAGAACCAAGACCUGCCCUCAAGCCCACCUCAGGGAACCAAGAGAAAACUGGUCAACUCCCAACAUCCAUCACUGUCUGUGCUGGUCCAAAAAUGCAUCCAAAAAUUCCUAUACCUUUUCCUUCACAAAGCCAAGCUGGAUUUUCUUUUCCUUGAGUGUGUACUGGGCGUAAUGCUCUCCUCUGAUAAACAGAAGACUGGAGUGUGCUGGGUGAUGUCGGGGGCUACAGCAUAAAGAUGAGUGGCUUCCUUUUUGCUGUCCGUUCGAUCACUUGUGCUCCGCUGUCAUGUCUGGAGGACACUCAAGCUACCCUGUGACAUGGUGCACGUGGCAAGGAACAGCCAACAGCCAACAGGCACAUGAGGGAGCCACCUUAAAAGCAGAUCCUUCAGAGUUCCCCUAAGCUCAGCCGGUACAAGCCCUAUUAGAAUCCACGAGAGGAGUUCCCGUCGUGGCGCAGUGGUU
rnacentral:lncRNA from 1 species